GAUGAACGCUGGCGGCGUGCCUAAUACAUGCAAGUCGAGCGAACAGACGAGGAGCUUGCUCCUCUGACGUUAGCGGCGGACGGGUGAGUAACACGUGGAUAACCUACCUAUAAGACUGGGAUAACUUCGGGAAACCGGAGCUAAUACCGGAUAAUAUAUUGAACCGCAUGGUUCAAUAGUGAAAGACGGUUUUGCUGUCACUUAUAGAUGGAUCCGCGCCGCAUUAGCUAGUUGGUAAGGUAACGGCUUACCAAGGCAACGAUGCGUAGCCGACCUGAGAGGGUGAUCGGCCACACUGGAACUGAGACACGGUCCAGACUCCUACGGGAGGCAGCAGUAGGGAAUCUUCCGCAAAGGGCGAAAGCCUGACGGAGCAACGCCGCGUGAGUGAUGAAGGUCUUCGGAUCGUAAAACCCUGUUAUUAGGGAAGGACAAAUGUGUAAGUAACUAUGCACGUCUUGACGGUACCCAAUCAGAAAGCCACGGCUAACUACGUG
rnacentral:rRNA from 1 species